rnacentral:guide_RNA from 1 species
ACUACAAAUUGUUAAUUCAAUGGG